GUUUGCUAUGGCAGUCCAUAUACUAAAACUAGAAUGACAAAGAGAAGAUUAGCAUGACCCUAUACAGGGAUGACAUGCAAAUUUGUAAGGAAUUCCAUAUUUUU